rnacentral:rRNA from 1 species
UACAGAGGCCACGAGCGUUAGGCGGAAUCACUGGGCUUAAAGCGUGUGUAGGUGGAUCGGUAAGUCACCUUGUGAAAUCCCACGACUCAAUCGUGGAACUGCGUUGGUAUACUGCCAGUCUUGAGGCACUCAGGGGCAAGCGGAACAGAUGGUGGAGCGGUGAAAUGCGUAGAUAUCAUCUGGAACGCCAAUGUGAAGACAGCUGCUGGGGUGUUCUGACACUGAGACACGAAGCCAGGGAGCAAACGGG